AUGGACUUGACAAUUGGCACUAUGUUCUUGGUCCUAGCUAUUAUUCUCAUCACCGCAAUAGUCAUCAAGAUUGCAAAUGCAAGAGUCACCUUUGAUCCAGUUUGUACACGACCACCUCCACCUGUGGUGAAUAGCAUUGCUCUUCUAAAACUCUUACCUACCCUGUGUACAAAGGGCCCCGAAGUUACAAUGACCUAUCUGUAUAACAAGUUUGGCAGUGUUUUCACAGUUAGUAUUCUUUGGAAAAGGAUAAGCUUCUUGGUCGGGCCAGAGGUCUCUGGUCCCUUUUUUCAAGGUUCCGAGUCAGAGGUUUCCCAAGGUAAUUUCAAUGAGUUCACUGUGCCCAUGUUUGGCCAAGAGAAUGGAUUUGCCGUAGAUUGCUCCACUCGAAUGGAUGAGAUUCGCUUCUACAUUGAUGCUCUAAAGCCAUCACAGCUGAGGAGCCAUGUUGACCCCAUGCUUCGUGAAGUGGAGGACUACUUUGGAAAAUGGGGAGAUGUGGGGGUAGUCGAUCUAAAAUAUGAGUUCAACCAUAUACUCAUGUUGAUCGCAAGUCGAUGCUUGCUCGGAAAAGAGGUUCGAGAGAAGAUAUUUGGCGAGUUUUACACACUGUUUACUGAAAUUGAAGAAGGAGUGAACUUGGUCAGUUUCAUGCUCCCAUAUAUCCCUAUUCCAGUAAACAGGCGACGCGAUCGAGCUCGCAUUAAGCUUACGGAGAUCGUUACAGAGAUUUUGAGGUCACGAAAGAUAUGCAACCGCAUCGAGGAGGAUGUGCUCCAGAAGUUGAUGGAUUCCAGGUAUAAAGACGGCCGCUGUACAACAGAAGCGGCUGUUGCGGGAAUGAUAAUCGCGUUGAUAUUUGCUGGAAAACAUACAAGCGCUGUCGUAUCCACCUGGACUGGAGCUUGCCUAUUGACCCAUGAAAAGUUCUUAGAUGCUGCUUUCAAUGAGCAAAAGGAAAUAAUGAGGACAUAUGGGGACAAGAUAGACUAUAAUGUCUUGCUAGAGAUGGAGACACUACAUAGUUGCAUCAAAGAGGCUGGACGCAUGAAUCCAAUAUCGUUUGGGUUGGUUCGCCAAGCACAAAAGAACAUCAUAGUGAGGACAAAAGAGGGCGUUGAAUACGACAUUCCGAAAGGUGACACCUUAGUAAAUCUUGUAAUGCUAACCCACAAAUUGCCACACAUUUACAAGGACCCCAAGGUAUAUGACCCCGAUCGGUUUCGUUCCGGAAGAGAUGAGGACAAAGUUGGUGGUAAAUUCUCUUAUGGAACUUUCGGUGGUGGAAGGCAUGUUUGCGCUGGGGAGGCCUAUGCUUUUAUGCAAAUCAAAAUUAUAUGGAGCCAUUUGCUGAGAAAUUUUGAACUCAAAUUGACUUCUCCUUUUCCCAAGACAGAUUGGAGCAAGUAUGCAUUAGAGCCUAAAGGGAAAGUGAUGGUAAGUUAUAAGCGAUACCGUGUGCCUGGAAUAUAG
rnacentral:rRNA from 1 species